rnacentral:rRNA from 1 species
UAACUUCCGUAGGGGGACCUGCGGAAGGAUCAUUACCGAGUGAGGGCCCUCUGGGUCCAACCUCCCACCCGUGUCUAUCGUACCUUGUUGCUUCGGCGGGCCCGCCGUUUCGACGGCCGCCGGGGAGGCCUUGCGCCCCCGGGCCCGCGCCCGCCGAAGACCCCAACAUGAACGCUGUUCUGAAAGUAUGCAGUCUGAGUUGAUUAUCGUAAUCAGUUAAAACUUUCAACAACGGAUCUCUUGGUUCCGGCAUCGAUGAAGAACGCAGCGAAAUGCGAUAAGUAAUGUGAAUUGCAGAAUUCAGUGAAUCAUCGAGUCUUUGAACGCACAUUGCGCCCCCUGGUAUUCCGGGGGGCAUGCCUGUCCGAGCGUCAUUGCUGCCCUCAAGCACGGCUUGUGUGUUGGGCCCCCGUCCCCCUCUCCCGGGGGACGGGCCCGAAAGGCAGCGGCGGCACCGCGUCCGGUCCUCGAGCGUAUGGGGCUUUGUCACCUGCUCUGUAGGCCCGGCCGGCGCCAGCCGACACCCAACUUUAUUUUUCUAAGGUUGACCUCGGAUCAGGUAGCUUCACC